CCUGGUUGAUCCUGCCAGUAGCAUAUGCUUGUCUCAAAGAUUAAGCCAUGCAUGUCUAAGUACAAGCCGCUAUGCGGCGAAACCGCGAAUGGCUCAAUAAAUCAGUUAUGGUUCCUUAGAUCGUACCAUCCUACUUGGAUAACUGUGGUAAUUCUAGAGCUAAUACAUGCACAAUAGCCCUGACCUCACGGAAAGGGUGCUUUUAUUAGAUCAAAACCAAUCGGGCUUCGGCCCGUUGUUUUGGUGACUCUGGAUAACUCUUAGCAGAUCGCAUGGUCUCGCACCGGCGACGCAUCUUUCAAAUGUCUGCCUUAUCAACUGUCGAUGGUAGGUUAUGCGCCUACCAUGGUUGCAACGGGUAACGGGG
rnacentral:rRNA from 1 species